rnacentral:misc_RNA from 1 species
CAUAAUACACAUCCUCAUGCGUGCGAGCCCAGCAGCUUCGGAAGUACAAAUUCAUCGCAAUCGCCUACCGUCUCAUCAUUCCAAAUGGCUUGAAGUUGCGUCCCGAGCAUUACCGCAGUGAAGAUUGCAAACAGAAGCGCUUCGAAGGUGAGAAAUAAAAGUAGCACAACCGUAGCAGGGGGACUAAAAGUAGAGCAUUCUCUCCAUUCUUGUCUCACACAAGUCGUGAAUUGCUGAACGCACAAGAACAAGGACUGCAGUGAGAUGCCAGCGAUAUAAAACUGGAAAAGCAUUGGACACGAUUAGCCGACAA